rnacentral:rRNA from 1 species
ACAUGCAAGUCGAACGAUGAAGCCUUUCGGGGUGGAUUAGUGGCGAACGGGUGAGUAACACGUGGGCAAUCUGCCCUUCACUCUGGGACAAGCCCUGGAAACGGGGUCUAAUACCGGAUAACACUCUGUCCUGCAUGGGACGGGGUUAAAAGCUCCGGCGGUGAAGGAUGAGCCCGCGGCCUAUCAGCUUGUUGGUGGGGUAAUGGCCUACCAAGGCGACGACGGGUAGCCGGCCUGAGAGGGCGACCGGCCACACUGGGACUGAGACACGGCCCAGACUCCUACGGGAGGCAGCAGUGGGGAAUAUUGCACAAUGGGCGAAAGCCUGAUGCAGCGACGCCGCGUGAGGGAUGACGGCCUUCGGGUUGUAAACCUCUUUCAGCAGGGAAGAAGCGAAAGUGACGGUACCUGCAGAAGAAGCGCCGGCUAACUACGUGCCAGCAGCCGCGGUAAUACGUAGGGCGCAAGCGUUGUCCGGAAUUAUUGGGCGUAAAGAGCUCGUAGGCGGCUUGUCACGUCGGAUGUGAAAGCCCGGGGCUUAACCCCGGGUCUGCAUUCGAUACGGGCUAGCUAGAGUGUGGUAGGGGAGAUCGGAAUUCCUGGUGUAGCGGUGAAAUGCGCAGAUAUCAGGAGGAACACCGGUGGCGAAGGCGGAUCUCUGGGCCAUUACUGACGCUGAGGAGCGAAAGCGUGGGGAGCGAACAGGAUUAGAUACCCUGGUAGUCCACGCCGUAAACGUUGGGAACUAGGUGUUGGCGACAUUCCACGUCGUCGGUGCCGCAGCUAACGCAUUAAGUUCCCCGCCUGGGGAGUACGGCCGCAAGGCUAAAACUCAAAGGAAUUGACGGGGG